rnacentral:rRNA from 1 species
AGAGUUUGAUCCUGGCUCAGGAUGAACGCUAGCUACAGGCUUAACACAUGCAAGUCGAGGGGCAGCAUUUUAGUUUGCUUGCAAACUGAAGAUGGCGACCGGCGCACGGGUGAGUAACACGUAUCCAACCUGCCGAUAACUCCGGAAUAGCCUUUCGAAAGAAAGAUUAAUACCGGAUAGUAUACGAAUAUCGCAUGAUAUUUUUAUUAAAGAAUUUCGGUUAUCGAUGGGGAUGCGUUCCAUUAGUUUGUUGGCGGGGUAACGGCCCACCAAGACUACGAUGGAUAGGGGUUCUGAGAGGAAGGUCCCCCACAUUGGAACUGAGACACGGUCCAAACUCCUACGGGAGGCAGCAGUGAGGAAUAUUGGUCAAUGGGCGCGAGCCUGAACCAGCCAAGUAGCGUGAAGGAUGAAGGCUCUAUGGGUCGUAAACUUCUUUUAUAUGGGAAUAAAGUUUUCCACGUGUGGAAUUUUGUAUGUACCAUAUGAAUAAGGAUCGGCUAACUCCGUGCCAGCAGCCGCGGU